UACGUAGGGUGCGAGCGUUAAUCGGAAUUACUGGGCGUAAAGCGUGCGCAGGCGGUUCGUUGUGUCGGUGGUGAAAGCCCCGGGCUUAACCUGGGAAUGGCCAUGGAAACUGGCGAACUGGAGUGUGGCAGAGGGGGGUGGAAUUCCGCGUGUAGCAGUGAAAUGCGUAGAGAUGCGGAGGAACACCGAUGGCGAAGGCAGCCCCCUGGGCUAGCACUGACGCUCAGGCACGAAAGUGUGGGGAGCAAACAGG
rnacentral:rRNA from 1 species